CAUUAUAGUACAACGGAGGGCACCCUGGGCUGUCGCUAACCUUUGAGAAAAGGACGUGCACGCUCGGAGUGCUCUCUCACAUCCAUCUCACACCCCUUUGUGCAUCACCGCGUGGGACCCCCCCUCUCUUUUGGCUUGUUCCGGAGGGGCGGGAGGUUUCACGUUUUUACACGAACAACCCAUUAAUGCAUGUGUAGAAUGUCUUACUUUUUGCGGUCAAACGCAAUCAAUACAACUUUCAACAACGGAUCUCUUGGCUCUCGCAUCGAUGAAGAACGCAGCGAAAUGCGAUACGUAAUGUGAAUUGCAGAAUUCAGUGAAUCAUCGAAUCUUUGAACGCACCUUGCGCCCCUUGGCAUUCCGAGGGGUGCACCCGUUUGAGUGCCGUGAACACCCUCAACCUUCUUGGUUUAUCGACCGGGGAAGGCUUGGACUUUGGAGGUUUUUGUUGCUGGCCUCCUUUGAAGCCAGCUCCUCCUAAAUGAAUUAGUGGGGUCCGCCGUGGCGAUCCUCGACGUGAUAAGUACGCUUCUACGUCUUGGGGGUUUCACCACUGUUACCUGCUUCCAACCGUCUUGGAACGAAGACGACGUUCGAGUUGCGACUCGACCUUAUAAACCUUGACCUCAAAUCGGGUGAGACUACCCGCUGAACUUAA
rnacentral:rRNA from 1 species